rnacentral:rRNA from 1 species
UACGUAGGGGGCUAGCGUUGUCCGGAAUCAUUGGGCGUAAAGAGCGUGUAGGCGGCUUGGUAAGUCCGCUGUGAAAGUCCAGGGCUCAACCCUGGAAAGCCAGUGGAUACUGUCAAGCUAGAGUCCGGAAGAGGCGAGUGGAAUUCCUGGUGUAGCGGUGAAAUGCGCAGAUAUCAGGAGGAACACCAAUGGCGAAGGCAGCUCGCUGGGACGGUACUGACGCUGAGGCGCGAAAGCUAGGGGAGCAAACAGG